AGCUUCUGUUCUGCUUUGGGUUUUCUAGCUUAUUGCUCUGUUCCUUUUAGUGUCUCUGCUUGCUGGCUGGAAUAGGAAGAGCAAGUAGGCGCUGUUCUGUACGGGGAAGACAUAGAAAAGUAUACAGACAAGCUCACCCCGUUUUCCACUUACUUGAUAUCUACUGCAAAAGUGAGGGUUUCUACCCUACGGAGUGCCUAUCAGCCGUUUUGAAUAGGUUAUUGACAAAUUCACUGUUGUCGAAGAGGUGAAAGAUGACAACAUACAAGACCCACGCUCCCGCCGCCGACGAGGUUGAAUACUGUACCCUUUGCAUAUUUGCACGAGCUGCAACGGAAUACGGAAUUUGAUAUAGUUGCCGUUGUGGUGAAUUGUGGCUCCAUAAAGUAUGUUGGCGCUAACAGUAGCAAAUGUCGUGAAGUCAUCGUAAUGGAUACCAAGGUCAAAGACAACCGACCAAGACUAAUGAGAUACACUCAGCAAACGGGGGUUGAUCGUCUCUGGUGCUUGCAGCAGACCAAGACGAUAUUGUUCCAAUUGCUGCUAUCCAGUCACAACCUCAUAUAUGUGCAUUUCACGCAUGCUGAUAUGUGUACAUAUAGACAACUUUAGUAUUUUUACCACAACUAAUAAAUCUACUUGCAUUCUCCUCUUUCACAGAUACACCUGUUUUAUGUGGAAGGUAAAUUAUCAUUUCCGACUGCCGACCAAGAUUUCUAUGAAUUACUGUGUUUCCAUUGCGGGCAGCAGUACAGAACUCAUUCACCGAAAAUAUUCACUGUGUGAGCUGCAAGCAAUGUGCGAUGUUGACACCCAGGGCCCGCUUUGAGGUUGUAAUGACAGAUGCCAGUGGAUCAACUGUUGCAACAUUAAUAGGCGAAUUAGGAGAGAAAUUUAUUGAUAUGACCGCCACAGAUAUCUGUGAAAUAUCAACUAAGAACCGGCCAUUACCUCUUGAACAUGUUCGACAGCGUCUUCCUCGUAAACUCUUCAAGAUACAACUGCGAAAAACAUUUUCUAGAACUUCUGAUCCACGAUUGUUCAUUGUAUCCUACUCCGUCAAGCAAGAUUUGUUUCAAUUGCCCGUACCAGUAGCCUCUGAAGAAAUUGGAGAGAGCAGUAACACUAAAUUGGAAAAUGCUGAGCUGAACAAAGAUAUACAAAACGAAGAUAGCAAUCAGUCGAAUGUGGAACAAGUUACACCCAUAGAAGAGAUAAAGAACGAGUUAACUACGGAAUGUGGCUCUUCUAGCAAGAGGCAACAAACUGAACUGGAGACCCCCCCCAAGAAAAAAUGAAGGGUGUUAUAACUCUGUAAAAUGCUUGUACAUACGUCUUAUCCUACUAAGUAAAUACGUGUUUGAAGAUCGCUAGCUUCUGCUUGACAGAAAACAUGGACAACACAGUUCAUUUUGUGUAACUUACUGGCAUGUACAUAUAUAUUUUUGUUAGCCGGUAAAACAUAUUUGU